UACUAAAGUUGUUGCGGUUAAAAAGCUCGUAGUUGAAACUGUGUCCCGCGGCGGCGUCUACCGUUCCGGUACGACGGUCGUGUCUGCGGGGCUUCUCGCCGGUGCGCGUCUGUCUGCGGGCGGAGAGGGUUCGCNNNNNCCCCCGCGCCAAGGGGAACUCUCGCGGCUGUUUACUUUGAACAAAUUAGAGUGCUCAAAGCGGGCUGAUUAUCGCCUGAAUAUUGCGUGCAUGGAAUAAUGGAAUAGGACCUCGGUUCUGUUUUGUUGGCUUUCUGAUACCAGAGGUAAUGAUUAAUAGGGACAACUGGGGGCAUUCGUAUUGCGACGUUAGAGGUGAAAUUCUUGGAUCGUCGCAAGACGACUAAAGCGAAAGCAUUUNCCAAAGGUGUUUUCAUUAAUCAAGAACGAAAGUUAGAGGUUCGAAGGCGAUUAGAUACCGCUGUAGUUCUAACCAUAAACGAUGCCAGCUAGCGAUCCGCCGGAAUUACUAACUUGAUUCGGUGGGCAGCUCCC
rnacentral:rRNA from 1 species